rnacentral:rRNA from 1 species
GAUGAACGCUGGCGGCGUGCCUAAUACAUGCAAGUCGAGCGAACGGACGAGAAGCUUGCUUCUCUGAUGUUAGCGGCGGACGGGUGAGUAACACGUGGAUAACCUACCUAUAAGACUGGGAUAACUUCGGGAAACCGUAGCUAAUACCGGAUAAUAUUUUGAACCGCAUGGUUCAAAAGUGAAAGACGGUCUUGCUGUCACUUAUAGAUGGAUCCGCGCUGCAUUAGCUAGUUGGUAAGGUAACGGCUUACCAAGGCAACGAUGCAUAGCCGACCUGAGAGGGUGAUCGGCCACACUGGAACUGAGACACGGUCCAGAGUCCUACGGGAGGCAGCAGUAGGGAAUCUUCCGCAAAGGGCGAAAGCCUGACGGAGCAACGCCGCGUGAGUGAUGAAGGUCUUCGGAUCGUAAAACUCUGUUAUUAGGGAAGAACAUAUGUGUAAGUAACUGUGCACAUCUUGACGGUACCUAAUCAGAAAGCCACGGCUAACUACGUG